UGCAGUCGUGCGAGAAAGCCACCUUCGGGUGGUGAGUAGAGCGGCGCACGGGUGAGUAACGCGUGGGUAAUCUGCCUUCGGGUCUGGGAUAACUCCGGGAAACUGGUGCUAAUACCGGAUAAGACCACGAUGUCCUCGGACUUCGCGGAAAAAGAUGGCCUCUCCUUGGAAGCUAUCGCCUGUAGAUGAGCCCGCGUCUGAUUAGCUUGUUGGUGGGGUAACGGCUCACCAAGGCUCCGAUCAGUAGCUGGUCUGAGAGGAUGAUCAGCCACACUGGAACUGAGACACGGUCCAGACUCCUACGGGAGGCAGCAGUCGGGAAUUUUGGGCAAUGGGCGAAAGCCUGACCCAGCAACGCCGCGUGAGGGAUGAAGGCCUUCGGGUCGUAAACCUCUGUCAGGAGGGAAGAACGGUCGGUGUUCAAAUAGGGCAUCGAUUUGACGGUACCUCCAAAGGAAGGACCGGCUAACUCCGUGCCAGCAGCCGCGGUAAUACGGAGGGUCCAAGCGUUGUUCGGAAUCAUUGGGCGUAAAGCGGGUGUAGGUGGUUUGGAAAGUCGGAUGUGAAAUCCCAGGGCUCAACCCUGGAACUGCAUUCGAAACUUCCUCACUAGAGUCCCGGANGGGAUGGCGGANUUCCCGGUGUAGAGGUGAAAUUCGUAGAUAUCGGGAGGAACACCAGUGGCGANNNCGGCCAUCUGGACNGUGACUGACACUAANACCCGAAAGCGUGGGUAGCGAACAGGAUUAGAUACCCUGGUAGUCCACGCCGUAAACGUUGAGUGCUCGUCGUCNCGGGUAUUGACCCCUG
rnacentral:rRNA from 1 species